rnacentral:rRNA from 1 species
AGUGAACGCUGGCGGUAGGCCUAACACAUGCCAGUCGAACGGCAGCACAGUAAGAGCUUGCUCUUACGGGUGGCGAGUGGCGGACGGGUGAGGAAUACAUCGGAAUCUACUUUUUCGUGGGGGAUAACGUAGGGAAACUUACGCUAAUACCGCAUACGACCUACGGGUGAAAGCAGGGGAUCUUCGGACCUUGCGCGAUUGAAUGAGCCGAUGUCGGAUUAGCUAGUUGGCGGGGUAAAGGCCCACCAAGGCGACGAUCCGUAGCUGGUCUGAGAGGAUGAUCAGCCACACUGGAACUGAGACACGGUCCAGACUCCUACGGGAGGCAGCAGUGGGGAAUAUUGGACAAUGGGCGCAAGCCUGAUCCAGCCAUACCGCGUGGGUGAAGAAGGCCUUCGGGUUGUAAAGCCCUUUUAUUGGGAAAGAAAAGCAGCAGGUUAAUACCCCGCUGUUCUGACGGUACCCAAAGAAUAAGCACCGGCUAACUUCGUG